rnacentral:lncRNA from 1 species
AACCUGUUGAAUUCUAAAAAUAUUAUGUUAAUUGAUGUUAGAGAGAUAUGGGAAAUUCUGGAGUAUCAAAAAAUCCCUGAGUCUAUCAAUGUACCAUUGGAUGAAGUAGGUGAAGCUCUACAGAUGAAUCCAAGAGACUUCAAAGAGAAGUACAAUGAAGUAAAACCAUCCAAAUCUGACAGCUAGUGUUUUCUUAUUUAGCCGGAGUGAGAAGCAAGAAGGCCCUGGACACAGCAAUAUCUCUGGGCUUUCACAGAAUUGUCUUGUCUUCCACACUCGUUACCUUUUCC